AUAAUACCCCCUCCGUCCAGAAUUACUUGUCAUCAAAAUGGAUGUGUCUAGAACUAAAAUACAUCUAGACACAUCCAUUUCAAUGACAAGUAUUUUCGGACGGAGGGAGUAGUAG
rfam:Triticum aestivum genome assembly, contig: Triticum_aestivum_CS42_TGACv1_scaffold_235507_3B